rnacentral:rRNA from 1 species
UAUUGCACAAUGGGGGAAACCCUGAUGCAGCGACGCAGCGUGAGUGAAGAAGUAUUUCGGUAUGUAAAGCUCCAUCAGCAGGGAAGAAAAUGACCGUACCUGACUAAGAAGCCACGGCUAACUACGUGCCCGCAGACGCGGUAAUACGUAGGGGGCAAGCGUUAUCCGGAUUUACUGGGUGUAAAGGGAGCGUAGACGGCAGAGCAAGUCUGAAGUGAAAGCCCGCGGCCCAACUGCGGGACUGCUUUGGAAACUGCCCGGCUAGAGUGCUGGAGAGGUAAGCGGAAUUCCUAGUGUAGCGGUGAAAUGCGUAGAUAUUAGGAGGAACACCAGUGGCGAAGGCGGCUUACUGGACAGUAACUGACGUUGAGGCUCGAAAGCGUGGGGAGCAAACAGGA